UGUGAGGAGAGAGAGAAAUGGAAAAAAUGAAUCUAUGUCCCUACAGUAAAUAAGUUCUGCUUAAACUUUUUUUACUAAAAAAGGUCCGAUUUAAGUCAUGAAGAUUAUGUGCAAGUUUUUCGUUAGAGCAUGGAUCACACCAUAGGAUGUGGUGCAUCAUGUGCACCGUCCAUCAUGCAAGGGACAGCUUUACGUAGAUCGAGCCAUAUGAUGCAUGAUGC
rnacentral:lncRNA from 1 species